rnacentral:lncRNA from 1 species
GCCGACCUCCUCCUCUCCCAUUGCUCCGGCCACAAUAGGUUGCUGCCCUUUCUGCACUCGGAUUGGAGAACAAAGCACAAUCAACACUGAAGGAGGGUACUAUGCUUGAAGGCAAUAGGAAAACUACUGCUGGACACAAGUGAGAAUAAAGGCUCAGGUAGUUGCUAAUAUACUCUUUAAUAUAAGUACAGAUGCAGUCAAACAACUUCGUCCAAUGGGUGACAUCUUCUCUGAAGUAGUUCUCUUACUCCAGGUAAGCAAUGGAGGCGAAAGCAAAUCAAGAACAUUACCGAUAAGAUGUUUGAUCAUUUCAAAAACAUGAUAGGAAGAGCAUAUAUGAGAUUCGAGGAUGGGCAAGUUUCAGACCUCUUUUUUGUU